GGGUGUAUAGCUCAGCUGGUAGAGCAUUAGGCUUUUAACCUACUGGUCCCGAGUUCGAAUCUCGGUGCACCCA
rnacentral:tRNA from 1 species